rnacentral:lncRNA from 1 species
UAUAAGUAUCAAAAGUCAACAGUUUAAAAAAUUAAGAAACUUCUUUUUUAUUGUUUCAAUUUAGGGAAACCUCAGUGAGAAUGGAGCAAGUGUCCCUAGAGGAGAAAAGGGUGAAACUGGACAGCCUGGAUUUCCAGGACCAGUUGGUCCUAAAGGACAAAAGGGAGAAAUGGGCGAGCAAGGAAAAGUUGGCUUACAAGGAAUAAAAGGUGACAAGGGAGCAACUGGGAUAAAAGGAUCACCAGGAGUGAAGGGUGAACCUGGAGAUUCUGGUCCCCCUGGACUUGUGGGAAAUCCAGGAAUUAAGGGUCAGCAAGGACCAGCAGGCUCCAUAGGACCCAGAGGACCUCCAGGAAAUAUUGUAAGCAUAGAAGACAUCUGUGUUUCUGAUUUAGCAAAAUGAGAUAUCAUGUACUAAAAGCUUUGGGACUAAGCUUGCAAUAAUCCCACCAAAAACAAAAAGAUAGUUUCUGAGAAUUUUAAGAUCUCUUCAUGUGACCACUUUAUUUUAUGUUUUCUGAAGUGCAUGAUUUUCAGAUGGAGCAGGAUAUGAGUCAUCACCUCCACUAAAUGCUUUUGCACCUGCUCACUUGAAGUCAAUAACCAACUGUGACACAAGGCC